GACGAACGCUGGCGGCGUGCUUAACACAUGCAAGUCGAACGGAAAGGCCCUGCUUUUGUGGGGUGCUCGAGUGGCGAACGGGUGAGUAACACGUGAGUAACCUGCCCUUGACUUUGGGAUAACUGCAGGAAACUGGGGCUAAUACCGGAUAGGAGCUCCUGCUGCAUGGUGGGGGUUGGAAAGUUUCGGCGGUUGGGGAUGGACUCGCGGCUUAUCAGCUUGUUGGUGGGGUAGUGGCUUACCAAGGCUUUGACGGGUAGCCGGCCUGAGAGGGUGACCGGCCACAUUGGGACUGAGAUACGGCCCGGACUCGUACGGGAGGCAGCGGUGGGGAAUAUUGCACAAUGGGCGGAAGCCUGAUGCAGCACCGCCGCGUGCGGGAUGACGGCCUUCGGGUUGUAAACCGCUUUCGCCUGUGACGAAGCGUGAGUGACGGUAAUGGGUAAAGAAGCACCGGCUAACUACGUG
rnacentral:rRNA from 1 species